rnacentral:rRNA from 1 species
GGCGGCGCGGCGCUCCUGACGAGCGCCCAGUUGACGCCCUCGAAGAAUGGGUGCUGCUUGAUCUCGGCGGCGCCGCGGCGGUACGCGAGCCGCUUCUGCGGCUCCUUGGCCAGCAGGCCGCGGAUGAGGUCCCUGGCGGCGGUGCUGACGCCGGGCGCGUCCGGGAAGCGCAGCGGCUGGCCGACGACGUUGAAGAGCGUGGCGCGGUUGCCGGAGCCCUUGAAGGGCGUGGUGCCGUGCAGCAGCUCGUAG